rnacentral:rRNA from 1 species
AGUGAACGCUGGCGGUAGGCCUAACACAUGCAAGUCGAACGGCAGCACAGUAAGAGCUUGCUCUUACGGGUGGCGAGUGGCGGACGGGUGAGGAAUACAUCGGAAUCUACUUUUUCGUGGGGGAUAACGUAGGGAAACUUACGCUAAUACCGCAUACGACCUACGGGUGAAAGCAGGGGAUCUUCGGACCUUGCGCGAUUGAAUUAGCCGAUGUCGGAUUAGCUAGUUGGUGGGGUAAAGGCCCACCAAGGCGACGAUCCGUAGCUGGUCUGAGAGGAUGAUCGGCCACACUGGAACUGAGACACGGUCCAGACUCCUACGGGAGGCAGCAGUGGGGAAUAUUGGACAAUGGGCGCAAGCCUGAUCCAGCCAUACCGCGUGGGUGAAGAAGGCCUUCGGGUUGUAAAGCCCUUUUGUUGGGAAAGAAAAGCAGCAGGUUAAUACCCCGCCGUUCUGACGGUACCCAAAGAAUAAGCACCGGCUAACUUCGUG